AAACGUGUGACAAUCGUUAAUUACUACAAUAGUUUUAUUGGAUUGUUUAUGAAAUUUGGUCUUUCAUCAAUCUAAGAAACACGAGUACAGACGAUAAUUUCAUUGACGUGCACUGUGUUACUGGGAAAAUAUUCAAAGUGUCCAGCAACUGUUUAGUGAGACUCAGGAAUUAUCUGUUCAAUGGAGUAGCGUAUUGUCCUCAUUUGCAAAAUUCCAUCAUUAGACUACGCUUGUCUUAUGUUACCACAGCACGAAUUAUACUUUUUAUCAAAAAUGGCGAUCCUUUUCUGACGUCGAUUGAAAAGGCAACGGAAGUUUAAUGGCGAAGAUUUUCUUCAUUGCAAAGAUCAAACAAUCGAAAGAUUCUUAUCUCCUCCGAUAUAUCCUGAAAAUUUAAGAGAAUUUGUACUGUUUAUCGUAUUAUACAAUUGGGCGAAAUUAAGAAUUAGAGGGAGAGAAGAAUCUAACGAAAAUCUUGAUGACAUUAUCAUCGGAGGAAGAUGUCGUGCUAUCUUAGACCCCUAUAUAUCUUGCAUCAGGUUUUUGACCAUGAAUAAUGUUAAACUGGAAUACAUUUUCGAGAAACUACAUUUACUGAAAGCAAAUGAAAUUCAAGCAAUACGUGAUUAUUGGAUUAAUGUCGAUUCGCCAAAUUUUCCAACUACAAUUAAUAAGGAGACUAGAGGAAGAGCAUAGGAGCACACCAAAAUGUUAUUUUCCUCAAAAACUGAGCGAUUGGUUGAAGAUAAGGAGGAGUAUGGAUUGGAUAAUAACGUUAUGGUUCCUCCAACUAAGAUGAAAAUGGAUAAAGAUUUCAGAAAGCAAGAAGAUAGCACGCAGAAUAGUUUUGGCUAUACUAUUAGCUACACUAUCGGAUGUGCUAUUAGAAAUAGAAAGGCAUUGAAAAAAGCCGGAUCUUUCUUCAAGGCAGUAUGGUAACCAGUCAAGAGAUCAGCGCAAAAAGUAUGGAUAAAUAUGAAAAGUGGAGAAACUGAAUACGUUCAGUUUGAAUAAGGAUCAUCAUUGCAUCAAGUAUACGAUUUACCUGCUUGAUUUUGUCCGAGUUCGUCUCGGGUAAGUGUUUAAUCGGAAUAUUUUUGUAUUUUAUACUCAGCAGUUAGGAGAUUUUCCACUCUCAACUUAUAAAUUAAACUCCAUUUCUAUCCCCGAUGUACAGUACCACCAACACACAAUGGCCAGGUAACAGGAGAACAGGAAACGUAUAUUAACGUGAAGAUACAUUAUGUUCUUCAUACGAUUCAGAUUUUACAUAUAGACAGACUAGGAGCUAGAAUUUUAAGCAUUAGAAUUAUAUAUAUACAGUAUAUGUAUAUUUUUGUCCAAGUAUCGAUAAAAAUAUAUUCUGAAAGUGUACUAGUCUCGUAACAUAGGAAAGCAACAGCGUAAAUAGGAGUAGAGAUUAAAAUGUUUAGCAAGUUUAUGUGAAUAAACUUGAGAACGUGAAG